rnacentral:rRNA from 1 species
GUAGGUGGCAAGCGUUGUCCGGAAUUAUUGGGCGUAAAGCGCGCGCAGGUGGUUCUUUAAGUCUGAUGUGAAAGCCCCCGGCUCAACCGGGGAGGGUCAUUGGAGACUGGGGAACUUGAGUGCAGGAGAGGAAAGUGGAAUUCCACGUGUAGCGGUGAAAUGCGUAGAUAUGUGGAGGAACACCAGUGGCGAAGGCGACUUUCUGGCCUGUAACUGACACUGAGGCGCGAAGGCGUGGGGAGCAAACAGGGAUUAGAUACCCUGGUAGUCCACGCCGUAAACGAUGAGUGCUAAGUGUUGGGGGGGUUUCCCGCCCCUCAGUGCUGCAGCUAACGCAUUAAGCACUCCGCCUGGGGAUACGGUCGCAAGACUG